UAGACCACUGACUACUUUUGUUUAAAUGAAAUAAUACAGAAGAUUGGCAUGAUCCUUGCUCAAAAUGACCCACAUGUUCAUGAAGCAUUCCAUAUUUAA
rnacentral:snRNA from 1 species